rnacentral:misc_RNA from 1 species
UUGAGCACUACGUUGUCAAGUCACAUCCGAAAAACUUGUGUUUGAUUUGCAAACGUACAGGUGGACUGUCUGAACCUUUAGUGUCAAGCCGUUUAUUUUUUAACGUUAAUACGCAGUGAUCUGUUGGCCAUCUGAAAAGUGUGUGCGGUUUGCAGAAGUGAGGCAUGUGAGCAUGCUUUGUAUCGAUCGACCGUGCCCGUCCCCGUCGUGUCCGUCGUCGAGCUCCUCAGCGUAGUUGUUGGGCUUUCAGUAGUGAAGGAACUCACAGUGAUUCGGCAUGGCUGCUCCCGCAGCUUGUACCCGUUUCAGUGAUAACUAUGACCUCAAGGAGGAGCUUGGAAAGGGCGCCUUCUCGGUGGUGCGACGAUGCGUCCAAAAGUCGACCGGUCUCGAGUUCGCCGCCAAAAUUAUCAACACGAAGAAGCUCUCCGCCAGAGACUUCCAGAAGCUGGAGAGAGAAGCCCGCAUCUGUCGGAAACUGCAGCACCCCAAUAUAGUGCGGUUACAUGACAGUAUACAGGAAGAACACUUCCACUACCUGGUGUUUGAUUUAGUGACUGGGGGCGAGUUGUUUGAGGAUAUUGUUGCUCGAGAAUUUUACAGUGAGGCUGAUGCUUCCCAUUGCAUCCAGCAGAUAUUGGAAAGUGUUCACCACUGCCAUUCAAAUGGUGUUGUGCACAGAGAUCUCAAGCCUGAAAAUUUACUUUUGGCAAGUAAGGCAAAGGGCGCAGCUGUGAAGCUCGCAGACUUUGGCUUGGCCAUUGAAGUUCCUGGGGAGCAACAAGCUUGGUUUGGAUUUGCUGGAACUCCUGGAUAUUUAUCACCUGAAGUCUUAAAAAAGGAGCCUUAUGGCAAACCAGUAGAUAUCUGGGCAUGUGGUGUGAUCCUGUAUAUCCUGUUAGUGGGAUACCCUCCUUUUUGGGAUGAGGACCAACACCGCUUGUAUGCUCAAAUCAAAAUAGGAGCCUAUGAUUACCCAUCUCCAGAGUGGGACACUGUCACUGCUGAAGCGAAAAGCCUUAUCAACGAAAUGUUGACUGUUAAUCCCUCAAAACGAAUCACUGCCUCUGAGGCACUGAAGCACCCAUGGAUCUGCCAACGAGAGCGAGUGGCAUCAAUGGUCCACAGACAAGAGACUGUGGACUGUUUGAAGAAAUUCAAUGCAAGGCGCAAACUCAAGGGUGCCAUUUUAACCACAAUGCUUGCCACUCGCAACUUUUCCAGUAAGUAUGAUGCACAUGGCCGAAGUAUUAUUACCAAGAAAGGAGAUGGAUCCCAAGUUAAAGAAUCCACAGACAGCAGCACAACAUUGGAGGACGAUGAUAUCAAAGAGGAUAAAGUUAAGGGUGGCGUAGACCGGAGUUCGACCGUAAUUGCUAAAGAGCCAGAAGAAAUAAGGAUUGUGUGCCCAAACAAGACAUGUUCGCAGCUCUCCACAAGUUCCUAUGGCUCAGAUUUAGUUUUUUGAUUUGCUGCUGUAUAUGUGCUACAUUGGAUUGAAUGAGCUUCAAAACUUAAACCAGCAUGUUUUUGCAACAGUUAUUUCCUUUUGCUUGCUUUUCAUUUAAAUGUUGUGGCAGUUCUAUCUGAUUUGACUUUUCUUUUCCUUGUUUACUUUUGAUUGUGACAUUUUGAAUAAAUGCACUAAUAUGUAUCUAUCUGAAGACACCUUAAAUGGAGCAACAGUGUUAGGCUAGUUUCCUUUUGCACAGGCCAAUUGGGAUACUACAAUCUUGUUAUUUUGAUUUGCACUACCAAUGGCUAUGGAAAUGUUGAUCUGUACUUUGGAGAAUAACUUAGAAUGGAGAGACCAUCUCUCUAGUGAAGGAGUGUAAUGUGAGGUCUUAAGCCUGUUGAUAUGCCAAGAGACUGUUUAGGUGUUUGCACUCUAAUUUGCCUAUGUCGAACACAUGAGAAUUUUCCAGCACUCAACCAUUUUUGUGGCAGAAAAUAACUAAAGCUGAUUGAUGUUUUUAAGUGCAUCAGAAGAGAGGUGUGAAGUAAACAUUUCAGGUUGAAUAAGGAAGAGAUAUUGACUGUUUUGUUGCGUGACUUGAAGUGAAGGAAGGGUAGUGGUCUUGAAACAGUUAUAUUCUUCCACCUAGCUAAGUAGCUUCUCUGUGUGAUCUUCAGUACUCUUAUAUGUUUUGUCUUUUGUUUCCUGUGUCAUUAUGAAUGCUCUUUUUACCCAAUAGAUACUGUGUUGCAAUACGAUUUCACUACUUCCAUGUCAGUUUAAACAACCACUUUCAUUACCCUUCUCUUUGGUGUAGUGAAACAUGUGCUCCACAUGUUGUGUGAUUAGGUUUCCCUCCCCCUAUCUUCAUUUCUUAAGUUUGCAUAAUGCAUAUGACACAGUGGUCUUUCUGUUUUUAUCCCUUUCUGAAAGUUAAUGUGUGCUUG